GAUGAACGCUAGCUACAGGCUUAACACAUGCAAGUCGAGGGGUAACGAGAGGAAAGCUUGCUUUCCUUGUCGACGACCGGCGCACGGGUGAGUAACGCGUAUCCAACCUGCCCCCAACUAGGGAAUAACCUUGCGAAAGUAAGACUAAUACCCUAUAAUUUCCUCAGAUGUCAUCUGACGAGGAAUAAAGAUUUAUCGGUUGUGGAUGGGGAUGCGUCUGAUUAGCUCGUUGGCGGGGUAACGGCCCACCAAGGCAACGAUCAGUAGGGGUUCUGAGAGAGAGGUCGCCCACAUAGAAACUGAGACACGGUCCAAACUCAUACGGGAGGCAGCAGUGAGGAAUAUUGGUCAAUGGGCGGAAGCCUGAACCAGCCAAGUAGCGUGCAGGAUGACGGCCCUAUGGGUUGUAAACUGCUUUUAUACAGGAAUAAAGUUAGCCACGUGUGGUUAUUUGUAGGUACUGUAUGAAUAAGGACCGGCUAAUUCCGUGCCAGCAGCCGCCGUAA
rnacentral:rRNA from 1 species